rnacentral:snRNA from 1 species
GUGCUCACUUCAGCAGCACAGAUCCUAAAAUCAGAACGAUACAGAGACAAUUAGCACGGCCCCUCCACAAGGAUGACAAGCAAAAAGAAGCUGAAAGUGGAGAAUGG